UUGUCGAAUUCCUGCAAAAGCAGUCCGCGAACACGUUAAACCACAUUGGGAUCGCGGGUCUCGGGGAGACCUUUGGCCCUCGCCCAUCUCCCGCACGUCGUGCGUCUCGGCGCGCGUGGUGCGGGCUAACGAACCCCGGCGCGGCAUGCGCCAAGGAAAACUCAUGGAAGUGUCUGCCUCCCGUCGCCCCGUUCGCGGUGCGCGGUGGGGGAACGGACGUCUCUUCAAUGUCAUAACGACUCUCGGCAACGGAUAUCUCGGCUCUCGCAUCGAUGAAGAACGUAGCGAAAUGCGAUACUUGGUGUGAAUUGCAGAAUCCCGUGAACCAUCGAGUCUUUGAACGCAAGUUGCGCCCGAAGCCAAUCGGCCGAAGGCACGUCUGCCUGGGCGUCACGCAUCGCGUCGCCUCACCGCACCACACCCCACGGGAUGAUCGGGUGGUGGGGCGGAAAUUGGCUCCCCGUGCGCGAAGCCGCGCGGCCAGCCUAAAUGCGAACCCGUGCCGACUCUCGUCACGACCAGUGGUGGUUGAACCCUCAACUCUCGUGCUGUCGUGCCGUUUUGAGUUGUCUGUCGGGCUUCGUCCAGACCCAUCGGCGCGAUUCUAUCGCACCUUCGACCGCGACCCCA
rnacentral:rRNA from 1 species